AACGAACGCUGGCGGCAUGCCUAACACAUGCAAGUCGAACUAGACCUUCGGGUCUAGUGGCGCACGGGUGCGUAACGCGUGGGAACCUGCCCUUAGGUUCGGAAUAACUCCCCGAAAGGGGUGCUAAUACCGGAUAAUGUCUUCGGACCAAAGAUUUAUCGCCUUUGGAUGGGCCCGCGUUGGAUUAGCUAGUUGGUAGGGUAAAAGCCUACCAAGGCGACGAUCCAUAGCUGGUCUGAGAGGAUGAUCAGCCACACUGGGACUGAGACACGGCCCAGACUCCUACGGGAGGCAGCAGUGGGGAAUAUUGGACAAUGGGCGAAAGCCUGAUCCAGCAAUGCCGCGUGAGUGAUGAAGGCCUUAGGGUUGUAAAGCUCUUUUACCCGGGAUGAUAAUGACAGUACCGGGAGAAUAAGCGCCGGCUAACUCCGUG
rnacentral:rRNA from 1 species